rnacentral:lncRNA from 10 species
GCAGGAAGUGAGAACAGCGCUGGGCUCUCGUGCCUGCUGGGAGAACCUGCAGAAGUGGAGAUAAAGAAACAGGCUCAGAGAGGAAGAGAUGGUUAACAGCUAGAGCUGUCCAACAAUGGACCAGACCAGGUGGCCUCAUGAGGUGGUGAGUUCCCUGUCACUCUGGGUAUUCAAGCAGAGAUUGAAGGGCUAGCUGUCAAAGGGCUAUGGAGGAAAUCCUGCAGAAGGUGGGCUUUGGACUACAUGGCCAUGGGGUCCUUCCCAACUUUGAGCUUGUGUGAGUCUUUGGGAAAGAUGGACUAAGCUGGAUUUCAGGGGCAGGGCCCCAGGCCCCAAGCGGAAGGAUGGCUAAGUGAGAGUGGUCACUACACUGGUGGCUUCCAAACCAUGGCUGCAGACCCCUGGGGCACUCUGCAGGGACUUCAGAGUCCACACAUGUUUGACUUAAAGUUCACUUUCCGCCGGGUGCGGUGGGUCACGCCUGUAAUUCUAGCACUUUGAGAGGCCAAGGUGGGCGGAUCACUUGAGGCCAGGAGUUUGAGACCAGCCUGGCCAAGAUGGUGAAACCCCGACUCUACUAAAAAUACAAAAAUUAGAAGGCCUGGUGGCACAUGCCUGUAAUCCCAACUACUUGGGAGGCUGAGGCAGGAGAAUUUCUUAAACCCCGGAGGCGGAGGUUGCAGUGAGCUGAGAUGGCGCCACUGCACUCCAGCCUGGGUGACAGAGCAAGACUCUGUCUCAGGAAAAAAAAAAGUUCAUUUUCAAUACAGUUUUUAUGAUGAAAUAGUAUCUAAAAACAAAUACAGGCUGGCAAUUAUGUUAUACAAUUUUUAACCCACAUAAAAUCACUAGAAAGGCUGCUUUGGGUGGCUCUGGGGCUAAAGAUUCUCCUACAUCUGCAUUUAAUUGAGAGCCUUGCAAGGAGGGAAAAUAUUGAAAAACAAAAGCCCCUCUUUUAACUUGCACUUCCUUAUCUGUAUGAAUAAGUGAUGGCGUACAACACAACACAGUGCAGAAAGAACUCGUAGGCCGAGCCUGAUGCAGCAUGGAAACCGUCACAGUAAUCCCUUAUUUCUGUCUCACAGUCAGCAAAACAGCCUUGUUCGCAUCUGAUCUAAUCUUAUUAUAAUGCUGUCUUCUAUUACAGUAAGAAUAAGGCGUGCAUGUGAACAUAUCCGGCGUUCGUAUUCAUAGAAUAUGACUUUUAUCUGUUUUACACAUUGUGAUUCCUCUUAGACUUCAUUUGAGAAAAGAGUUUUACUGUUGAACAUACUGGGACGCCCCCAUGGUGAAGUGGCUGAUGCUGCCACUCCAAGUUCUUUCUAAGCAAGGUGGGGUGGGGGUAUGGGACCGGGGCCUGCAGCCCCUGCCUCUCCUUACUCUCAGGCCGCCACCUCAUGACAGCACCCAUGGUGGACGCCUGUCCCUGGGCCCCAAGCCUGACCCCACUGCUGUGGGUGCAGGGGUGAAUGGGGUAGCUGGAGCCCCUGGCUGACUCUUCCCCAGGAGGGCAGUGUGAGGAAGAGGCAGUGGUGGUGAUGGAGGAUGCUCAGCAGCCCACCUGAAGGCCUAUGUGAUGCCGCGCACGGGAGGCCACGUGUAAGCAGGAGUGAGGCGGGAGCAAGGAGCCACAGAUACAGCAAGCAUGGGAAGACGUGAGUCCUCGGCCAGGGUUGAAGGGCCGGUGGACAGGAGCUGGUCUCCACCUGGGUGGGAAACACCUCCGCUCCUGUUCCGUGGAUCUGACCAAGAGGCCCAGAAGUUGUGCUGCCCUGGGCACUGCACCAUCUCCCUGCUAGAAUUCCCUUCGGAUCUCGCCAGUCUGCCAGGGCUGUUUAUGCAGUCUGAUGAUGCCUAUGGCCUCAUUUCUAUCACAUGUGGCUGCCCCUAUCGACUCUCCGACCCUCAUACCAAAAUAACCCACCUGGCCUGACCAGUGAGACCCAAGGCCUCCUCUCCACACAGGCCCCGGGGAUGGCCCUGAUGAGCCAAAGUUUGGGGGUCAAAACACCAACCUUAUCUCAUAUAAUUCAUUCCUCUCCCUACCCUUGAUCAACCCUGGUCUUAAGUCUGCUGCUCCAACCCCCCAAGCCGCCUCCUGCCCCAGGGCCUUUGAACCUACUCAGUCCUCCUGGAGCUUCUUUCCUUCAGAGCUUUGCACAGUGUGCUGCUUCUUAGCCUCAGGUCACACCUCAGGUGUCACCUCCCCAGACAGCCUCCCCUGACCACCUCUUCCAGUGUAACUACCCCUACUCUGUCACCAUUCACACAUCCACUUGGAUUAUCUUUUUUCCAUGGCAGCUCGCAUUUUCUGCGAUUAUCUUGUUUACAUCUUUUCUAGGGUAUUUUGUUUUUCUGCAGCAGAAUGUCAGCUCCACAAGGAGCUGUCUUGUUCAUUCCUGUGUCUGCUGUCCCUAGCACCAUGACUGCACACAGUAGGCACCCAGCCAAUGUUUGUGGAGUUAAGGAGCUCAGAGGCUCAAAGCUGUGUGCGCUUUGCAGGAAUCAUUUCCUGAGAAAUGGGUGACUUUAUUUUUAAGCACAGAAGUGUGGAGGCUUGAAUGAGAAAAUAGAGAAAGGGGCUCAGGGAGAGAGGGAAGGUGCUGGUGGGCCAUGGUAUUUAGGGGUGGCGGUGUUCUGGGCUAUGUGAAGAUCUAAUAGCUGAUUUGAGGGGAAGCCAGAUGCAAGUGGAAGCAUCCAUGUCUCAAUGAUGUGAGAAGAAACCUGGGGCAGAGGGCACAGACAGGGGGAGAAGACCGCCCAGGCUCGGGAGCUGCCUGAGCAGGUCAUCAUCAGGCCCUGCUCCCCAAGGCAGGGGAGCCCGGAGCUUGCCACUCACUUAACCGAAAGAAACAGGAAAGAGAAAUGCAGGCACAUUUUUAAAGAUCUUUUAAGAUCUCAAAAUAUGAUUCAGCCACGUUAUUAUCCAGUGGACAUCGCAUUCCUCAGAACCCAAAAGGGAAUGUUGUCUUUCCUUGCUGGUGCUCACCCUGCUGAGGAGGGGGCCACCUGCUCUGCUGGGGCCUGGGAGGGUUUCCUUAGAGCUGUGGCUGUUGGUGAGGCCUUGAAGGAUGAGGAGUUUUAGCUGGUGAAGGGAGAAUGGCAUCCCAAGGUGACAGACUGCUGGGGCAUGGGCCCACAGGGGAGCCAAAGCUCUACCAGGUGUGGGGAGGUUUGGGGACUCAGGCCUGGGUUCUCUCCCACCCCAGGCGGUGGGGGAGGUGUACGAUGCCAGGGCUGAGAGGAGCUGACAGAAUUUUGUUUUAUCUGCCCCCGCAAGCACCACCCCACCGCCUUCUCAAACACAACCAUCCUUUCAUCUAGGCUCACCCCGCCCGCCUCCCCACGUCUAAUCUCAUUUAGAGCGGCAAUUAAAUUUUAAAGGCCCAUCAGCACGGACCCUCAAAUGCCAGGUUCUUUCCAGAUAGAAUUAUUUAAUAGACUGGAUGGCAACUGUGCGGGCUCCGGCUGGCACUGCAGACCCACCGAGGCAGAAAAUUAAUCAACACAGCAGCCUCUCCCCACCCUCUUGUGGCCAGGCCUGGCCUGCCUCCACUCCCUCUCCCCUGCCUACCUCGGCUGCCAUGAUCAGUUUCCUGAGCAAGGCGCAUCUGUGUUUGUAGGAGGAGGGCAGGAAAGCCUCAGGAACCUGGCAGAUGAUCUCAGGGGCCUGCCUGAAAGCCCCAUUCUGCCACUUAUUAGCGAAGCCAGGUGGGACACAUUACUUCACCUGUCUGGCCUCAGUCUGCUCAUCCGUGUAAUGGGGUCACUAGAGGCUCACAGAGGCAAUGUAUGUACAGCACUCGGCGUGAUAGCCAGCUCAUUGCAGGAGCUCAGUACACAAAAGUUCCUUCCUCCUCCUUCACAAAUAACCACAGCUUGUGUGCUGAUGUGUGCUGGUGUCAUGGACACCUGGCUGGGGGACAGGGAGAGGAAGGUGGGAGUGGGCCUGAGCGUUCGUGGGUCUGUGGGCUGCCUGCACCUUGGGCAUGUGGCAUCAGGAAAACGGGUCGCUGAGGUUCGGUGUCCUGGGUAGAAUCUCACUUUCUGUGUGUUCUUGGGCAAGCCUCUUAGCCUCUUGGGCCUCAGUUUCCUUGCCUAUAAAACAGGGACAGAGUAUCUACUGACUUCGCGGGGUCAUUGUGGGGUCUGGUAAGGUGAUGCGGCUGAGUCCCUGGCACAGCAGUAGGUGCCAUGACAGUUCUGCCUGUGUCACCCACUGGGUGCCAGGCAGCCCUCAUGCGGGGCAACCCCAGGGGAGAGGAGCAGCCUGGGUGAGCUGGAGAGAGACCAGGUGAGGGUAAGGCACAUACCAAGGAAGUGAGUCUCAAGACUCUGGGGACAAGGGCUGUGUCUAAGGGCAGUGGCUCUCCUCGGACUCCCUCCCACCUCCCCUCCAGAUCCAACUCCUGCUCGUUGGUGGGGGCUUGAGGAUGAAGAUGGUGAGAGGGGCUAUCUGUGACAAGGGAAUCCCGACCUUGAUCUCAUAUUCAUCUAACAAAUAUGGACUGAGCACCUACCCUAUGUCAGGCACUGCUCUAGGUGCUACAGGUGCUGAGGACACAGCAGUGACCACAACAAAGAUCCUGUCCUGGCCAGGUGUGGUGGCUUACGCCUGUAAUCCCAGCACUUUGGGAGGCUGAGGCAGGUGGAUCACUUGAGUCCAGGAGUUCCAGCCUAGGCAA